rnacentral:rRNA from 1 species
UACGUAGGUGGCAAGCGUUAUCCGGAUUUACUGGGUGUAAAGGGAGCGUAGACGGCAUGGCAAGUCAGAUGUGAAAGCCCGGGGCUCAACCCCGGGACUGCAUUUGAAACUGUCAGGCUGGAGUGCAGGAGAGGUAAGCGGAAUUCCUAGUGCAGCGGUGAAAUGCGUAGAUAUUAGGAGGAACACCAGUGGCGAAGGCGGCUUACUGGACUGUAACUGACGUUGAGGCUCGAAAGCGUGGGGAGCAAACAGG